rnacentral:snRNA from 1 species
AUACUUGCAUGGCAGAGGAGAUGCCAUACUUGCAUGGCAGAUGAUCACAUGGUUCUCUCAAGGCAGAGGUCAUCCAAAGCACUCAGGUCUUUCUGACACCUGCAAUUUCCUCAAGCAGGGGAACUCAGCUGCACAAUUUCUGUUCGUGGGGAAUUUCGCACUGUCCCCC